rnacentral:rRNA from 1 species
AUUCCAGCUCCAAUAGCGUAUAUUAAAGUUGUUGCAGUUAAAAAGCUCGUAGUUGGAUUUCUGGCAGGGGGCAACAGCCCGCUUGCAGCGUGUGCUUGCCGUCCCCUACCAUCCUUCUGUUAACGCGCCAGGACAUUCACUUGUCGGGCGCGGGCUCAGAUAAUUUACCUUGAGAAAAUUAGAGUGUUUCAGGCAGGCUGACGCCGGGAUACAUUAGCAUGGAAUAAUGGAAUAGGACUUUCGCCUCUUCUGUUGGUCUGAGGGGUGAUCGUAAUGAUUAAUAGGGAUAGUUGGGGGCAUUAGUACUUAACUGUCAGAGGUGAAAUUCUCGGAUUUGUUAAAGACUAACUUAUGCGAAAGCAUUUGCCAAGGAUGUCUUCAUUG